AAAAUGCCUAUUCCUAGGCCUUUGUCUUUUCUAUGAAUAUUUGGUUAAACAAUCUACUCAUGUCAGAAUUUCCUACCAAAACAAUACAAGUUACAUCGUCUGCCUGUCAAGUGUCUCAUUACUGCUCCAUUAAUUUCUUCAGUGCCAGUCUAGAAUGAUAACUCACCACUGCUAUCUGUAGUAAAAAAACGAUUUCUGUGCUACAUUUUUAUCCUCUACUGGUUUUCAUUUCCUGCAGAAAUCAGGUCGUCCAACACAUAAGCAGGAUGAGGAUGCUGGCUGAUUCAGAAACCAAGUGGAGCUCAUGUCCACCAGGGGGAGAAAAGUGCCAUUAAGGGCUUGUGCCAGGCUUUGCAAUAGCAGAAAGCUCCCAGAGGAGAGACCGGAAUGAGUUUUGUAGCUGACAGACUCGAUCAGCAAACAAACCUAGUUGAACAGUAGCAUGGAUGAUUGCUGACCCUGCCUCCUGUACUCCCAGUGCCACCAUCAACAGGACAGUGAUAAAUGUCCGCCUGAAGUGCGAAGAUCAAGUGCUGGGAGAGCAAGGUCAGAUGCUUUACAUGACAUCUAAUGCGACUGUCAUUUCUCAGGCUUGGUAGCCGAUGGAAAUGUGGAGACAGGAUAAGCCAGUCACUAAGGUACCUGUGCACCCUGAGGCAGCACACGGGCACAUGGAAUGUCUCUGGGAGGCCUGCAAGAUCUGUGAGUUACACUUGCUUGGACAACUACAGUCCAUUCACAAGCUUUUGGCCAUAACUGAAAUGAAUA
rnacentral:lncRNA from 1 species